UGGUUGAAAUACUGGAGGUGAAGUUGUG
rnacentral:piRNA from 1 species